GCAUGAUUGCCUUGUGGGUGCAUUUAUUGGUUGUAGUGGCGGCUGAAGUGGAUGAAGAAGGCUUGAUGGCAGGGUGGGUAGGGGGCAGGGGUGAUAAUUAUUGGGGGUGGAGGGGAAGGGGGUAGCGAUAGAGUGACCUGUUGGUAUCGCUCGUGGGCGUGUUAUCAGGGCGGGACGUCGGCGGAGACAGCCCAGGGGGUCUUGUGACGUUACCAAGGAAUCCUGGGUAUUGAAUACGUGGCGCUGCGCAUGCGUCACCCAUCAGCCGUGUCGUGCCCCGGAGACGGCCGCGGCAGUACAGCUCCGACCAGCCACCAAAGAGCAACCCAGAGUCCACUUCUGCCAGCAUUGGAAUGCUCUUUCCUGUUUACACUUUUACAAUAAAGCAACAACCACACAGGUUAAGGUCUCAGAAGUUCAUCUGCAGCGGAAGGAGAAGGAAGUCAGUGACGAGGUCUCUUUUGUCAGUCAUGGAUCACCAAAACAGCGCCACCAGCAGCACCAGAAGCGUCGACGGCGUCAACGGUGGCAGAAGCGUGUGGCAACGAGUGUCGAGACCCGAGGUGGUGCUGGCAGUGGGCUCACCCAUCCUGCUCUUGGUCGACAUCGGCCUCAUCAUCGUCUUCGUGCUGAAGGAAAAUUGGCAGGGCGUCAUCUACAGCGGCGUCGUCUUCCUCGCCUGGAGCCAGGUCAUCUUCUGGUUCUUCAGGACUCGCACCCUCCUCGUCGCCCACCGCCAGGUAAAUGGUUGCUUUGUUUUCCUAGGCUUCCUUUAACUUUCUUAAAUGUUUCCACAGACGGAGGAAAGAUGGAGGGCAGUGGACGCUGAGAAAGAAAGGGAGAAAGAGGAGAGAGAAACGAAGAAGUAGUGGCUCGAUGGAGGAUGAGAUAAAAGGUCCUCAGCUGCUGGUGGCCGCGGACAAAAGCCAAUUUGAAAGUGCUUCCACCACCUGCUUGAAGCAGCGCUGCCCCCGCCACUCUCGCCGUGAGCCCUCACCUCCCCUAGGGGCCUCCUGUCCUCGGCACAAACAUGUCUCACAUAUGCAUGACACUAUUCUUUAUCUAUAUUAUUUUUUUUUAUAUUACUUAUUGCCAUGUGAAUGUACGUGUUUCCCACGGUGGCCCCUUCGAAGGCCUGCCGGGGGAGGUUCUCAAUAAAGGGUGAGCACAGAGGCCACAGGGCGGGCCAGUCGGUCCGGCGUGGUUGUGCCAGGUGUUGGUGGGAGGUCUUUUCUCUUUACUAGAUUAAGUUUUUUAUUGAAGCAAAUACAUUUUACGAUCUUUUGAAGGCAUGUACUGAUUCAUCCCUGUCUGUGGGUGUCAGUGUCGUUGUUGUUGUUGUUGUUGUUGUUGUUGUGUUGGUGGGAGUGGUCUGUGUUGUGUGUGGACAACAGGGAUGUGUGUUUCAGAACAGUGCGUUGCUGGUUGUGCUCUUUCGCCACACGGAAGUGGUGUUAUCGUCCACGAGAACCGCGGGAUUACGAAGUGCUAGUGUUAGUGUUAGACAAGUGAAUUCUUCCUACGGAGGUCAAGAUUCGUUCUGGCACUCGUGACCCUGAGGCUGCCGAUUCACCACCACCCUAUGAGGAGGUGAUCAAGACCGAGGCGCCGCCCCCACCAUACUACAUGGUGGUGCCUGAAGGGGGCUGGUCCACUAGC